rnacentral:rRNA from 1 species
GACGAACGCUGGCGGCGUGCCUAAUACAUGCAAGUGGGACGCAAGGGAACACACUGUGCUUGCACACCGCGUUUUCUUGAGUCGCGAACGGGUGAGUAACGCGUAGGUAACCUGCCUAUUAGCGGGGGAUAACUAUUGGAAACGAUAGCUAAUACCGCAUAAUAUUAAUUAUUGCAUGAUAAUUGAUUGAAAGAUGCAAGCGCAUCACUAGUAGAUGGACCUGCGUUGUAUUAGCUAGUUGGUAAGGUAAGAGCUUACCAAGGCGACGAUACAUAGCCGACCUGAGAGGGUGAUCGGCCACACUGGGACUGAGACACGGCCCAGACUCCUACGGGAGGCAGCAGUAGGGAAUCUUCGGCAAUGGACGAAAGUCUGACCGAGCAACGCCGCGUGAGUGAAGAAGGUUUUCGGAUCGUAAAGCUCUGUUGUAAGUCAAGAACGUGUGUGAGAGUGGAAAGUUCACAC